rnacentral:rRNA from 2 species
AGGUGCGAUCAUACCAGCACUAAUGUGUGCUUGGGCGAGAGUAGUACUAGGAUGGGUGACCUCCUGAAAAGUCCUUGUGUUGCACCUC